GUUAAUUUAAAUUAUAAUAUUUAUUUUGAAAAUAAAUAGUGAUUUUAAUAAAUAAAUCAGUUAACU
rnacentral:tRNA from 1 species